UACGGAGGUGGCAAGCGUUGUUCGGAAUUACUGGGCGUAAAGGGCGCGUAGGCGGCUAGGCAAGUCAGGUGUGAAAUCCCCAGGCUUAACCUGGGAACUGCAUUCGAGACUGCAUUGCUAGAGUAUGGGAGAGGGAAGUGGAAUUUCCGGUGUAGCGGUGAAAUGCAUAGAUAUCGGAAGGAACAUCAGUGGCGAAAGCGACUUCCUGGACCAAUACUGACGCUCAUGUGCGAAAGCGUGGGGAGCAAACAGG
rnacentral:rRNA from 1 species